GGCAUACUUUAAAUACAUGUUUUAACGUUGUUUUCAGUCAGUUUCAUUAGAAUGGAGAUAACAAUAUUGUAUUUUAAGCUCCGACGGCAUCAAUUGGGGAUUUGAUGGUCACAAUUACCUGUUUACUGUCUCCGCUAACGCGUCGCCAGUAAACUUAAUUUGCGACCAUCAAAUCCCCAAUUGAUGCCGUAGGAGCUUAAAAUACAAUACAGUUAUCUCCUAA
rnacentral:lncRNA from 1 species